UACGGAGGGUGCGAGCGUUGUUCGGAAUCACUGGGCGUAAAGGGCGUGUAGGCGGUCUGUCGCGUCGGUCGUGAAAACCUGCAGCUUAACUGUGGGCGUGCGGUCGAUACGGGCAUGACUGGAGUUCGGCAGGGGAGACUGGAAUUCCUGGUGUAGCGGUGAAAUGCGCAGAUAUCAGGAGGAACACCGGUGGCGAAGGCGGGUCUCUGGGCCGAUACUGACGCUGAGGAGCGAAAGCGUGGGGAGCGAACAGG
rnacentral:rRNA from 1 species